GCCAUAUCACGUUAAAAUACCAGUUCUCGUACGAUCAGCGAAGUUAAGCAACAUUGGGUCUGGUCAGUACCUUGAUGAGUGACCAUUUGGCAAUACCAGGUGCUGUAA